rnacentral:misc_RNA from 1 species
AAGUCGUAACAAGGUUUCCGUAGGUGAACCUGCGGAAGGAUCAUUAAUGAAUGAAUGUAGAGUCGGUUGUAGCUGGUCUUCCAAAGACAUGUGCACGCCUUCUCUUUCAUCCACACACCCCUGUGCACUUGUUAGACGGAUGAUUGUUUCCCUUUUAUUAGGGGACGGUUUCCGUCUGCUAACACAUAAAACCAUAUUAUUAAAUUUGAAUGUAAUUGAUGUAACGCAUCUAAUACAAAGUUUCAACAACGGAUCUCUUGGCUCUC